rnacentral:rRNA from 1 species
CGCCUCUUGCACACAACUAUAUGAGGUCUAGCCUGCCCAGUGACCCAGUUAAACGGCCGCGGUAUCCUAACCGUGCGAAGGUAGCGUAAUCACUUGUUCUAUAAAUCAGGACUCGUAUGAACGGCAUCACGAAGGUUAUACUGUCUCCUUUUUCUAAUCAGUGAAAUUAAUCUCCCUGUGAAAAAGCAGGGAUAAACUUAUAAGACGAGAAGACCCUAUGGAGCUUUAAACACAUAAUAUCUGUUAUACUUCAACGCCUUUUCAUAACAAUAUAUUAUAGUUUUAGGUUGGGGAGACCGCGGCGUAAAACAAAACCCCCGCGUUGAAACAUAUUAGAACCACAAUUCCUAUAUCAUUAUCUUGACAAAAUUGACCCAAAUUAUUGAGCAACGAACCAAGUUACCCUAGGGAUAACAGCGCAAUCCACUUUAAGAGCCCAUAUCGACAAGUGGGCUUACGACCUCGAUGUUGGAUCAGGGUAUCCCAGUGGUGCAGCCGCUACUAAAGGUUCGUUUGUUCAACGAUUUAUACCCU